AAUUUUGGCUAUUUUUCAUAUUUAGUUUGCGUACAGUAAUUAACAACUUUAAGCUUAUACAUUAACUUUAGUUAUAGCUUAGUUAUUAAUGAUUUGGUUUAUAGAUUUUUAAAGCAAUACAAGAUUGAAUUUAGCAGAAGGCUAAAUUUCUGCUCUGGAGACAAAAAAGAAAAACAGCGAAAAUGACCAGUCAAAAUAAAGAUUAAAGAGACAAAAAAUUGCGUAAAUCUUGGUGUAGAUGAUUUAUCUUCAUUUUGUUAUAAUAAAACAAAAAAUGUUAUUAAACUUUGGGAUUUGCCUGUAACUCCAAACUUUUUACAGAAGUUCAAUGUUUGCUCUGAGAAGUUGAAUGAACAAAUUUAUUAAAUGAUAAAGUUGUAUCCUUGAAAGAUAUGCUGGUAUUAUUGGCACAAUGGGCAAGCAUUGAAGUGCAACUUGGUGAAAUACAAAACACAUAAAAUUCAGUUAUAAAAAUUUGAGUAACAAAGGUUGUGUAUUUUUGCAGGUCAAUUGUUUGGCACAAUUUGGAGUUAAAGACAAAGGAGAUUGUAUAUGUUAUUUACUAAGAAUUGUUUUUUAAAAUGGCAUAGCUGUAAAAUUAAACUAUACAGGGAGAGGACAAAAAAUUGGAAUAGGAAAAAUGUUGAUUGCAUAUGUUGCUAUUGAAACUGUGAAGUCAA